UUCCCCACCAUUACAGACGCUCUAAAUAUAGAUAUACCUCUAGCUUUGGUUUGUCUGUAGAGUCAGUCGAAUGCAGCACCUCUAGGAGAUUCUUCAGAGCUGUAUUAAAGAUGAGCAUAUUCUUUUUCAUAUCGGCAUUAGUUGCAGGUAAGCUGCUUGUUUUUAUUCAACUCUAAAACUGGACUGGCAGCAGACUUAAUCGUUUUCUUUAGGUUCGAGAAAAACGCGAGGAAACGCGGCUCAAACUGCACGAGUGAGCAGGACGUGAGCAGAUUAGAGUGAAAUGCCAAAUAGUACUUCUACCUUACAGAAAAAAAUUCUUUCUGUCCCAAACAGUCGCUGUGUGUGUUCCGGAGUUGAAGUUGGAGACAACUGUUGGAGAAGAUGUUACCAUAUCCUUCAAAACUGCAGAACUGGAGACAGCCACUCGAGGAAAAAGCACGUUUGAUUGUGCAGUUCUGCGCACACGGUGAAAGACGUGUUGUCGUGAAACACCUGGAGUCUUAUUGCGCAUUAAACAGGGAACCUUAAUUCUUCAGCGUGUCAGCUUCAACAACUCAGGCCACUAUGAAGCAAAAAUCAUCACUGGGAAGGCGGUGUCUGAGAUAAAAGCUACACUUGUUGUCAAAAAACCAGCAUUUUCCUCCACUAAAGCACCACUACACACCUCCAUCAAGAAUCCUCCCAGCUCCUCUGAACACCAGUGGCCAUAUGCUUUACUGAUUCUUCCAGUCAUCGCCUUGGGGGUGGUCGUGUUUUUUAUUCUGGAGGAAGAAAUGCAUGAGGAAAUGUGAUCCAGCAGCUGAUGAUGAAGAAGCCAGAGAAACUCCCUGCCGUCUACAGAUGCAGUGUCUCCAGAAUAAUACAUGAACAAAGUGGCAGCGGUUGUCUAGUCUCUUUUAACCACUGUAGAGAAAACACUGAAGAUCUGCUCAAUACUUGACUUGAGUGUCAUAAAACACUUAUCAGUCCACACUUCAGCAUUGUUUGUUCGAAUGUGAUUUUUAGCAUAUCUGAUUGGAACCCAGUCAUAUGUAGUAAGUGUGAACAGCAAAAAAGCACAUGAAAUAAACUUUGUACAAUACUGUUUGAAGCCACAUUCCUAUAUGGCUUGAAAUGCUGUUCAAAUCCUAUUUCUGGAAAUCUGUUUUAGUCUGAUCGCUCCAUUGUCACUUUUUAGGUCAAUAGCACCAGUCACUGCUAUAGAAACCAGAUUCAGUCAGAUCAGUAUUUAAUCAGAUUUGGACUAAACCUGCCAAACUACCAGAUGCUGUUAUUCAUUUUUCACAAGUAUAUUAGUAGAGUCCCUUUUAAGCCAGUUUUGUUUCCUGUCACACUGGUAAAAUUGACUGUUGAGGCAUUGUAGUGAGGUAGAUUUGGAUAAAAACAUCCUAUCUCUUCACUGUUUUGUGGUCACUAUGAGUCAAAUGUCAGUGCUCUAUGAAAGUAUAUAUUCAUUCGUAAAUUUGAAGGGGAAAGUAAAAUUAUUCUGUAUUUUACAAAUGUAAUGCGUUAUUUAUUCAGUGUCUUGCUUAUUUCUUGCCAUGUUCUUACAUGUCUAUAUUUUAAUGAAAUAAAUAUUUUGUGCCUUUCCCACAACUUUGACUG